rnacentral:rRNA from 1 species
UACGUAGGGGGCAAGCGUUGUCCGGAUUUAUUGGGCGUAAAGAGCGUGUAGGCGGCCAGACAGGUCCGUUGUGAAAACUCGAGGCUCAACCUCGAGACGUCGAUGGAAACCGUUUGGCUAGAGUCCGGAAGAGGAGUGUGGAAUUCCUGGUGUAGCGGUGAAAUGCGCAGAUAUCAGGAAGAACACCUAUGGCGAAGGCAGCACUCUGGGACGGUACUGACGCUGAGACGCGAAAGCGUGGGGAGCGAACAGG